rnacentral:rRNA from 1 species
AUGGGGGGACCAUCCUCCAAGGCUAAAUACUCCUGACUGACCGAUAGUGAACCAGUACCGUGAGGGAAAGGCGAAAAGAACCCCGGCGAGGGGAGUGAAAAAGAACCUGAAACCGUGUACGUACAAGCAGUGGGAGCACAGAGCAAUCUGUGUGACUGCGUACCUUUUGUAUAAUGGGUCAGCGACUUAUAUUCUGUAGCAAGGUUAACCGAAUAGGGGAGCCGAAGGGAAACCGAGUCUUAACUGGGCGUUAAGUUGCAGGGUAUAGACCCGAAACCCGGUGAUCUAGCCAUGGGCAGGUUGAAGGUUGGGUAACACUAACUGGAGGACCGAACCGACUAAUGUUGAAAAAUUAGCGGAUGACUUGUGGCUGGGGGUGAAAGGCCAAUCAAACCGGGAGAUAGCUGGUUCUCCCCGAAAGCUAUUUAGGUAGCGCCUCGUGAAUUCAUCUCCGGGGGUAGAGCACUGUUUCGGCAAGGGGGUCAUCCCGACUUACCAACCCGAUGCAAACUGCGAAUACCGGAGAAUGUUAUCACGGGAGACACACGGCGGGUGCUAACGUCCGUCGUGAAGAGGGAAACAACCCAGACCGCCAGCUAAGGUCCCAAAGUCAUGGUUAAGUGGGAAACGAUGUGGGAAGGCCCAGACAGCCAGGAUGUUGGCUUAGAAGCAGCCAUCAUUUAAAGAAAGCGUAAUAGCUCACUGGUCGAGUCGGCCUGCGCGGAAGAUGUAACGGGGCUAAACCAUGCACCGAAGCUGCGGCAGCGACACUGUGUGUUGUUGGGUAGGGGAGCGUUCUGUAAGCCUGUGAAGGUGUGCUGUGAGGCAUGCUGGAGGUAUCAGAAGUGCGAAUGCUGACAUAAGUAACGAUAAAGCGGGUGAAAAGCCCGCUCGCCGGAAGACCAAGGGUUCCUGUCCAACGUUAAUCGGGGCAGGGUGAGUCGACCCCUAAGGCGAGGCCGAAAGGCGUAGUCGAUGGGAAACAGGUUAAUAUUCCUGUACUUGGUGUUACUGCGAAGGGGGGACGGAGAAGGCUAUGUUGGCCGGGCGACGGUUGUCCCGGUUUAAGCGUGUAGGCUGGUUUUCCAGGCAAAUCCGGAAAAUCAAGGCUGAGGCGUGAUGACGAGGCACUACGGUGCUGAAGCAACAAAUGCCCUGCUUCCAGGAAAAGCCUCUAAGCAUCAGGUAACAUCAAAUCGUACCCCAAACCGACACAGGUGGUCAGGUAGAGAAUACCAAGGCGCUUGAGAGAACUCGGGUGAAGGAACUAGGCAAAAUGGUGCCGUAACUUCGGGAGAAGGCACGCUGAUAUGUAGGUGAAGUCCCUCGCGGAUGGAGCUGAAAUCAGUCGAAGAUACCAGCUGGCUGCAACUGUUUAUUAAAAACACAGCACUGUGCAAACACGAAAGUGGACGUAUACGGUGUGACGCCUGCCCGGUGCCGGAAGGUUAAUUGAUGGGGUCAGCGCAAGCGAAGCUCUUGAUCGAAGCCCCGGUAAACGGCGGCCGUAACUAUAACGGUCCUAAGGUAGCGAAAUUCCUUGUCGGGUAAGUUCCGACCUGCACGAAUGGCGUAAUGAUGGCCAGGCUGUCUCCACCCGAGACUCAGUGAAAUUGAACUCGCUGUGAAGAUGCAGUGUACCCGCGGCAAGACGGAAAGACCCCGUGAACCUUUACUAUAGCUUGACACUGAACAUUGAGCCUUGAUGUGUAGGAUAGGUGGGAGGCUUUGAAGUGUGGACGCCAGUCUGCAUGGAGCCGACCUUGAAAUACCACCCUUUAAUGUUUGAUGUUCUAACGUGGACCCGUGAUCCGGGUUGCGGACAGUGUCUGGUGGGUAGUUUGACUGGGGCGGUCUCCUCCUAAAGAGUAACGGAGGAGCACGAAGGUUGGCUAAUCCUGGUCGGACAUCAGGAGGUUAGUGCAAUGGCAUAAGCCAGCUUGACUGCGAGCGUGACGGCGCGAGCAGGUGCGAAAGCAGGUCAUAGUGAUCCGGUGGUUCUGAAUGGAAGGGCCAUCGCUCAACGGAUAAAAGGUACUCCGGGGAUAACAGGCUGAUACCGCCCAAGAGUUCAUAUCGACGGCGGUGUUUGGCACCUCGAUGUCGGCUCAUCACAUCCUGGGGCUGAAGUAGGUCCCAAGGGUAUGGCUGUUCGCCAUUUAAAGUGGUACGCGAGCUGGGUUUAGAACGUCGUGAGACAGUUCGGUCCCUAUCUGCCGUGGGCGCUGGAGAACUGAGGGGGGCUGCUCCUAGUACGAGAGGACCGGAGUGGACGCAUCACUGGUGUUCGGGUUGUCAUGCCAAUGGCACUGCCCGGUAGCUAAAUGCGGAAGAGAUAAGUGCUGAAAGCAUCUAAGCACGAAACUUGCCCCGAGAUGAGUUCUCCCUGACCCUUUAAGGGUCCUGAAGGAACGUU